GUAAAUUACUCACUGGCAUUGGCUGCUUUCUAGAGGUGGCACUAUGCUAGCACCAUGCUUCAGGGGAAAGCAAGCUGUCAGGAACCUCCAAGACCACUUCCGGUAGCAGUGCCGGGCAUCCAUCUGUCUGUGUAUAAUUGAGGCUUUAAGAAGCUUACCCUGCAGGACCGCCGACAGGAAGGCAUGCAGUAAGGAGUACUCGAUGAGGAUGAUGUCGAUUACUCCUGCUGGAGGUCCUUGAGUUUAUUCAUUUACUGAGUUACUCAGACAACAGAUAUGUAUUGAGUACCUACUAUAUGUGGGGCUUGGUGCAGGAGAUAUACUAGUGAGGAAAACAGUGGAUCCUGGUCUUAUGCACAUUACAGUUUGAUGUGGGGGGGGGGAACAGACUUUAUUGAAAUGCUCAAGAUAAUAAAAUAACCAAUUUGUGGUAAGUGAUCCAGAAGAAGGGUAAAUACAAGCCAAAUAAGACUACAGACACAAGACAAGGUAACUCAAGGCAGAAGGCCUGCAUAAACAGGCACUAAGUUCUGUGAAGAUGACAUAGAAGUUGUCUAAGCUGUUUAAAAAGUCUGUUAGUUUACUACACAUAUUUGUGGCAGUCUUAAAAUCACCCCUUUCUUUGCAGUCAUCAAUAGAUGAAGUAGCAAACAGAUACAGAAAAAGUGGCUCUUUUGUCUCCCGCCAAAUAUUACCCUUCAGCUCAAGGUGGGAAUAGGUUCCACACUUUCUCUCCUUGAUGGCUUUCCUUCUUCUAACCUCUCUUCUUCAAAAUGCAGGAAUUCCAUCAGAAGCUGUACAGAACCUCGGACUUAAAUUCCCAAGCAUUGUUUUCUUUGUACCAGUUUCCUUUGCUAGAAAGCACAAGAAGCUUCGCUCUAAGAUGAUGUUCUAAUUUCUCACCUGCCACUCAAGGAUCCCAUGACAUCCUACCACCUCCUUUCAGUCCUGUCCCCCAUAGCCCCUGUAGGCCAAGGAGAAUACCACCUACCACCUCAAGAACAGACAUUGCGUGUCUCCUUCCCUGCUUCUGAUCCGGAUUGUAGCUCAUGCCAUUUUAGGCAUCCCAAGUGGCUUUCCCUCUUGUCAGUAAAUGAUGCCUUCCUUAAAGCAGAAUCACUAAGAUACAUAGACGAUACAAAUAGAUAAAUGGUGUUUGUUGUAAACAUUCUUACUUGGCAAAAAUAAAAGAUUUCUAUUCCUAA